UCGUCUCUUCAUUCUCGACGAAUCGAUUUUUCGAAAUCUUCGUCAACAUAUCUUGGCAGGUCUGUGCUAUUUCUUGAUAAGUCGAUUCGUUGCAUGCAUCGGCUGCUUCUUCGAAAAUGUAUUCAUUAAUUCGCUUAUCGAUUUCAGCAACUUUUCCCAUUCUACUCUCAAUGACAUAUGUAGACAUUUGUAAGUCUUUUCUAGCUAAUUCUCUGGCUUUUAUCUUUUCCACCAAAGAACUAAACGAUUGGUUCAAUAUCUUUGCCAACGCAUUGCGUGAUUUCUUUAAAUUUUCCAAAAUCAAUUUUUACGAAUUUGACGAUUCAACCAUCAGUUUUUAGUGCAAACGAUCCUAAUUUAUCGACCUCGUCCUGUCACGGUCGCCAUGUUCGAAAUUUUAAGGAGCAGAUUCAAACAACAAUUUAUAAAAAAGGACAAAAUCGUGUUUAUUGGGAUUCUCGAUACUGAACAUAUGAACAACUGUGAUCGAAUGAAUAUUUUUCUCGUCGAUGCAGAACCUUCUACG